rnacentral:lncRNA from 1 species
GUUGGUAUUAAAUAAAUGCUUAGUGUUGAGUCGGCUGUCUCACCAGCUGAGAAAUAACCUUGUCUGUCUCUUUGACAUCUUCCCUUAAAGCUACUUGGAUGCAUAGUAUAAGAAAUAGCCUGAGUUCCUGGGGAUGUUUACACUAUCAGAAUGCUAGGGAACAGGGUUGACAAGAGUGACAGCGUUGAGUGAAAAGAAAGUUUAUUUAUAUGUUUGUGUGUGUGUAUAUACACACACACUAUACAUACUAAACUCGUAUAUACACAUAUGAAACACGUCUCGACUGGGAGCAAGGGAACUGCAAGAUAACAGGUUAAAAUGCUCUCAGAAACGUAAACAGAACUUGAAAUAUUAUUUUAUUUUUCCUACUGGAUAACUGAACAGUAAGCAUGAGGGCAAAGGAAAUGCAAGGAGGGAAGAGAAAGGAUUCCAAGGUAGAAGGAGAAAAAGGCAGAGAGACACAAGAGAUAUAACAUGGUUAUAAUGAGAUGGGAGAGGGGAGGGAAAGAUGGAAAAAGGGGAGAGAGAGAGAGAGAGAGAGAGAGAGAGAGAGAGAGAGAGAGAGAGGAGGGAUGGGGUGGGCGAAUUGGAGAGAGUUGGACGGAGUAUUCCACAUCUUUAAGGGAAAUUCUCUAGAUGGGAAGAGACGCACAAAUUUUGCAUGACAAGUAGAGACUGGCUCUCCUGGGAGUUCCCUGUUUGGAGAGCGGGCAAGCAAGAGAUCUCCCUGCUGCCUGGGAGAGGCUGCAGCUUUGGGCCCUAAAGCCCUGCCCCCUCAGUUCCUUCUUCCCUCCCCCUCCCGUCUACUCUGUACACAGUGCAUUUCCCUCUCUUUUUCUCAUUCUCUAGACUGGUUUUUCUGGUUCAGCCUCUCACCCUGGGACGCGCUGGGGGAUCCGAUGACGUCGCUGGCCGAGCUUUCCUCUCUCUCUCUCUCUCUCUCUCUCUCGGCCGCGCUCCCUUUCUCCCUCUCUUACUUCUCCUUGUAACUUCUGUUCUGGGAAGUGGUGCCAGGAAUAACCCUGUCUGACUACAGAUCAGAAAGGCUGCUGCUUCCUCAUCCAGAAAACUGCGGCUCUGGCCUCUCUUCUCCCUCUCAAGCCCAGCUUCACCUUAUGUCUGUCGCACUGUGUACAGUAUAAGAAAAUAAAUAAAGGAAAGAGGAGCCUUGACUGUCGGGAUCUCUUCCCUCCCUCCCUCUGUCCUUAAGGAAAUGCUACCAGACACCCCCCAACCCGCACAAGCUUAGCAAGGAGCAACCUCAGCAGCAGAAACAACAAGGGCACCAGGGGGUUUUUCCUCCUCCUCUUCCUCCUCCUCCUUCUCUUCCUCCUCCACGGUGACUUUCAGGUGAGCAGCAGCUGCUGCUGUGAGGAACCCCCUUCCUCGCUCCCCUGUCAAGGUAUCCCCUCCUCCUGCCCCUGUCACUCGGAGCCGGCCAGGAGCUGACAGUCGCCGGAGGGGCUUGCGGAAGAGAGGCGGGGAGGCGGGCGGGCGGGAGGUGUGGGAGUGGAGAGGAAAGGGGGACGCCGGGGGAGUGCUGUCUUUCUUAAGAAGAGGAGGGUCUUUAAAAAAAAAAUCUUUCCUGACUGUGGCACAAGUAUUUGCCAAGUUGUGUCUUGGACGUUGAAGCUACUGGCCGCACUGGAGCAACUUACAAGGUCUUUUCCUCUCUUUCCAAAAUCCACAUACUUUGGGUUGUUGGGUGCUGCCUCGGGGUACAUUGAGGGUGUAUCCGUCAUUUGGGAAAGAAACGGUGACUAUAGGCUAGCCAUCUGAUGGCAGGUUGGAGAUUCUGCCUGACUCACCAGAGUGAAGGAUGAGGAGAAUUUGUGACUGGCUAGGAGGCUGCUACCUGCAGAAAACAGAUCUCCAGGUGGAGACUUUGGAAUUUUAAAGAAGACAGUCAAUAAUCAUACUCACCUGAAUGAUGAAACAAAUUGCCAUGGCUGGAACCAAUGAUUACUAAAUCUUUACUAUCAGCAGUCAGUGGAACCAUCACAUUUGAACUCUAACAUCUCAGUCCCUGAUGUACUAUAUGAGGAAAUGGAAAUGGCACCAAAAAGAUGAAGAUGGAGAAAAACAGCUGGACCCGACCAAGUACACACAGAGGAAUUCCUUGAUGGAGGCAACACAGUUUUAAAGGCAUUAAGGGACUUAUUUCCAAGGUAUCUGAAAGAGGAGAUUAUACCACAUAUUUGAAAACAAUUAUGGGCAGUAUUCAGUUUUUUGGUACUUCAGUGGAUUUGUUUAUUCAUUAUUGUGGACAUUCCACAAUAUGAGAAUUAGUAAAAAAAAAUUUGAGUCCCUUCAUGCCUUCUCAUCUUGAAUGAUUUUUGUCCAUGUUUCUCCCAUAAAUUCUCCAGGGAAGGGGUAUCCAAUGUGCUUUAGAAUUAUUUUGAUGUCUUUAUGAUCUGUGAAAAUCAAUGCAAUACUUGGGCAGUCUUUUCAUUUCAAAUCAUGAAAAUGACUCCUUCCCCCUUCCCCAAAGACAAUCAAAACAGCAUAAAUAAAAAUUAAUUAUACAUCUAUUUUCUAUAAAAUCUUAAGGAAUAUAAACUAUUCUUAUAUCAAAAACAUCCUUGAUGAAAAUAUGAGGAGAUAAAGAAAGAAUUUUACAAAUUAUUUUCUGCAACCACUUACUUCUUUAUGGUCACCCAAUUAACUGAAAGGUUCAGAAAACAAAAGGCUACUUGGUAUAUUGCUUAUGGAU